AGACGGCCAAUUAAAUACGCACGAUAGUUCCUCACUUAAGUCGCGAGGAACAGGUUUUUAUUUAGCGUCUUUAAGGGAGAGAAAGAUUGUUUAUAAAGGUACCACUGGAUGAGGGAGAGGUAAUAAAGGUGGAGAGAUACGACACAGCUGCAGACAGAUAACCACUUCGCGACUCGCAAUGCAACUGGGAAGAAGAAGCUUGGCGAGGGGAGGGGAAAAGAAAGAAUAAAACAUCGUAAGCCUUUCGAUAGGUCUGUCUCGUCUCGAUGGAAGGAUCGAUACUUCGAAACUGGCCCUGCAUAUUUAUGCGUGGAAACUACUACUAGUUCGAGCUCGUAAUAAUCAAUAGAAUUUGUUUCGGUUUUUUUCUAUCGUUUUAAAAAUUCUUCUCUACCGGUUACUUUUGACUUUUUAACGAUUUUUUAAGUGUUGUCGAAACGCGAUACACGCACGAUCGACUUUUUAAAAAAAAAACAACUUUCUCCCGAAUAAGAAUCAAAGAACCGACGAAUUCCAUGAAAUGAAGCGAGAAAUCGUAGAAAGUGGUUUUGGGGGAAUAGAAAUUCCUUUUGUAUUUCGAAAUCAAAUAUUAAAAAAAAAUCUACUGCUCUCUAUCGUAUACUUUUCCCAAUCUUUCAUACAAAUUUUUCCAUACGUACAAUUAAACAUACUUGAAUUAAAUUAUCUUGAUACGUGGAGUAAUUUCAUUAAAAUUUUCGGAUCGAUUUGGCACGAUGUAUUAAAAUGAUAAAAGAGAAAAAAAUUACCAGAAGUCUUGUCGCUAAAGAGACAUCCCCAUAGAUUUGUCCAUGUCUCAUAUUCUUGAUUCACCCCUCUAUAUAUGUACGUAACUAGAAUUGAGGAGCGGACAGUGGUUCGAAUAAUAUUAAUUGGAUUCAAAAUUCAUUUUCAAAUAUUUAUAAAAAUAGUAAGUGUUUCGAUUUUAAAUCCUCCUUUCAAACGUUUACGUUAUUAAAUACAAUACAAUUGUAAUCGAUAAUCGAUCGGUCGUAUUUCAAUUGUUGGGAAAUAUUCCGUAAAUUUUUUUAAGAAAAAUUUGUUUAUUCGUCAUAUUUUGGAGAAAUAAACAAUAAUGAUAUUCAUUUUUUUUAUAUAUAUAAUUAUAUAUAAAAAUUUUGUUAUUCCUUUCAAUAUUUGCGCAAUAUAAUUUUCAAUUUUAUUGUUUUUAUUCUUAUUUUUCUAAAUCAUCAUUGUAAACAAUAAUGAUAUUCUUAACUUUAACGAUUCUUUUUUAUAUAUAUAAAAAUUUUGUUAUUCCUUUCAAUAUUUGCGCAAUACGUAUCUUCUUACAGUGCUUUUUCCAUUUUAUAAUUUUCAAUUUUAUUGUUUUUAUUCUUAUUUUUCUAAAUCAUCACUUACCAUACACACUAUCAUACUUCUUUUCCCCAAAUAAAUAUUUUUUCCUUCAACAUCCGUUUCUCGAUAAUUUCCUCCAAUUAUCCUUUUCAAUUAUUCGAAUCACUGUGGGUCGAAUUUAACAGAGAUUGUGAAAACUGUGCUCCCCCAAGGAGGACACGAGAGGUGAAGGAAGCCUCGUUUCUUUGGGAGGGGGAGAGCGUUCAAUUUUCCGGGCGGCGAGGAGGUAAAAAAGCGCGCGAGGAUUCGAAUAACAAGGAGCAAUGCAAUAAAAGCGCCGUUGGAUGCUCGUUCGAGCAAUUUUGCUCGAGACACAGGGAGGGAUAUCUGCACGGUGUGUCGACGAGGUGAAUGUGGAAAUACGGGGCCAAUUUCGUAGAAUUGAAUAAGCACAGUCGGUUGAAGGGGAUUGAAUUAUCUGCGUGAUAAUUGUUGGCUUUCCAUGCUUCGAUUUCUCCUUCUCUUUUCUUCUACCGAUUUCGGCAAAAUUUAAUCUACUAUUACGUUGCUUCGAUAAUUUUAAUUCAAAAUGUAAUAAUAAUUGGAAAACAAGAUUGUAAAUAAAUGCUUAUUUAAA